UAAUGAUUGUUAUUUAAAGCUGUUUCGUACUCGCAUAUCUCUUUCACUUUUCAAGCUGCAGCUAGCCCAAGGAAAAGGCUAAACAUAUGUAUGUCUGUAUGUACAUAAAGACAUACUUUCGUCAUCCAGAUGGUUCUUUCUUUUCCUUUUUCGUGCAGUUUUGAUGAAUGCCAUUUUGAUUUUUAUCUACCGACAUGCUUUUGAUCGUCAUUCCAUUCCACUUCCAUCCACUUUCCGCUGCUCGGACUCGGACUUGGACUCGUAAAUCUCCUGUUUUAAUUAGUAAUCUGAAGCCAACUACUGUAUAAACCCAAAUUCAAAAGUGGAACAACACAAAACGUAUCAGAGAAACAACAAAAAAAACUCUAAAAGCAGGCGGCACGGAAAAAGUUGAAGAAAAGGCAAAAAAGAAAAGGUCAGUGACCAAAAUAUGUUUUGUAAUUCAGGCAGAAAGAAUCAGCGAAAAGAGAAUGUGGGCAAGAUGAAAAAUCAGUCCGAAUGAACAGCAGAAGGAGGCAACAACGAGGCAAAACAGAAGCCAAAGAGCCAGCAAUGCACAGCGAAAAGAAUCCGUUGAAGCCGGGAGGAAUUGGGCCAGCUUGGGUUCGUUUUUGUUGUGUCUCUUGGCCAAAAAGGAUUUUCUCGGACUGCACACACGUGCCUCGCGCGCCUCCACCUUCGCCUCAUUUGGCGAUUUCCGUUUGCUGUUGCCUUAAGCCUUUGCAACGCCUUAAUUCAAUUAACGCCGUCGGCGUCGCAGUCGACGCAGCUCAAUGUCCGCGUCAAGUAUACGCCCUGUGGCGGAGGCCUCACGCACACACAGACACAGUGGCAGAAACACACACAAGGCGUUUCCUAUUUUGCAUGAGAACGGGAAAAUCAAAAAGGAGAACGGACAGCGGGCAUCCGACUUAAGGCUGUGUGCGCAUCAGGGAAAAGGUAAAAAGAGAGAGACAGAGGGAGAGAAAUAAGCAAAUUCGCGAAAUGCAAAUGAAAGGUAAUUGAAAGCGACGCUGCCAACGUAGACGUCGCAGUUGCAGUUGCAGUCGCCGUCGCCGUCGCUGAUGGCUACAUCUACCCUUAAGCUUUGGCGGGGACAUUGUCCGUUUAUGGGACGAUGGGAGGCCUCUGGCGAUGUAAGGGACACAGGCACAGGCACAGUGGUACGACGGCUGAUGAUAAGAAUAAACUCAUUGGCAGAUGGUGCUCGAAAAACCAAAGCCAGGAGUCUUCUCCGUUCCAUUUUUACACAUCACAUUUGAUGAUCGCACUGAACGAAAGAAUCCAUAUCUCUACACAUCAUUUUCCAUUGAUCGCCAGUCCUUGGUCGCACAAUCACUUUUGGCCCACUGUCCCCACAUUGCGCAAAAGGCAAAGAGCACAUGAGAAUAAGAAACAAC
rnacentral:lncRNA from 1 species